rnacentral:lncRNA from 1 species
AGCAGUCUGAGCAAUUCAAUAUAAAUUUAUGAGAUACCAGUGAGAAUUGCCACUGUUUCACUCCUGCCCCUCCCAUGAGUAUAGACAAACAUGCUAGACCUUCCCGUCAGGGGAAGAACCCAUUAAGCCAGUUCAGCGGUCUCAAGUCACAGGUUGACCUGGAAUUAGAAAUUACAAGUAGCCAUGCUUGAUUAAACAGUCACUCCCUAGAUGCCACAGAAUCCUGUGGCUACUACUCUGAAAGCAAAGACACCUCCAAGACGUUGCCUCUAUCCAAGGAUGACUCCAGGGCUCUAAUAUCUAUCACACAGGUAGAAUCAGAUCAUUGACACAAGGCAAAGAGACUCCAACAUGCAUGGAAAGUAGUAUUUCCCAAGAUCAAUUUUGAGGAGCACUAGUGAACAUCGUAUUGGU